CCUACACAGACAGUGGACAUUGUAAAAGUUGUAGGUUGGACAAAAACCAUGAAAGGAGACUACAGCAUGAGAGACAGGUGCGACAGAGGAUACAAGUGUAUGAAAAAUGGCCUCGAAGUUAGCACACCUGGAUAUUACUUGCAAGUGCUUGGGGACAUUUCUGGACGCCUGCAGCUCAUUAAAAUUGCUCAGCGAUGGAAGAGCGUGCAGGCAUGCUGGGAUUUUCUGGCCAGUGACGGCUAUUCUACGGGAGGGGAAUGAGCACUGUGGACGCCGCCUGAGGGCCAACCACCACUAGACUGUAAGUGCUGCAGUUGCCUGGUCCCCAUGUAGCACUAAUCACAACACUCGUCUCUUUCCAUUUGUUCUCCAUCAGCGGCCUGAAACAAUCCACUGCUUUAGCUCCAUCCACACUCCAUCCUCUUCUCUUCUAGUUGGCUGUUUCUUUACCUUCUCAGCUCAGGACUCUUCCUCCUCUAGUUUUCAUAUUUUCCCUGGCUUAUCAUUUUUUUUUUUUUUACUUUGUACUGUACUUGUAAUGAUGCAGGUAAUUGUUCCACCUAAUUUUGGUCCCUUUCACCCUUUCACCCUGAGUCAUAGCACACACACACACACACACACACAUACCCAGACACAGUUUAUGCCCUAAUCGUCGCAUCUUACCUGGAACCAGUCACUCAGAAAUGACUUUCUGCUUCAUUAGGCUCAGGCUUUGGUCCUCAU